rnacentral:rRNA from 1 species
CAAUAGCGUAUAUUAAAGUUGUUGCAGUUAAAAAGCUCGUAGUUGGAUUUCUGGUGGGAGCGAUCGGUCUGGCGCUUAGCGCGAGUACUUGCAUCGUCUCCGGCCAUCCUUGGGGAAAGUCUGUCUGGCAUUAAGUUGUCGGGCAGAGGAUCCUCAUCGUUUACUGUGAAAAAAUUAGAGCGUUCAAAGCAGGCUUAUGCCGUUGAAUAUAUUAGCAUGGAAUAAUAAGAUAGGACUUUGGUACUAUUUUGUUGGUUUGCGCACCAAAGUAAUGAUUAAUAGGGACAGUUGGGGGUAUUCGUAUUCCGUUGUCAGAGGUGAAAUUCUUGGAUUUACGGAAGACGAACUACUGCGAAAGCAUUUACCAAGGAUGUUUUCAUUAA